rnacentral:tRNA from 1 species
GGGCCACUAGCUCAUCAGGUAGAGCACCAGCUUUUUAAGCUGGGUGUGCAGGGUUCGAGUCCCUGGUGGCUCA